UAGCCACCAGCCCCAUCCUCAUUUUUCACACUUGCUGUCUGGUCACCUUAGCUUGGAAGCACCUCGCUAUCAACUGCGCCUCCUAAUCUUCUUACCACAGAUCAAGGUUCUCAGUUUCUAUCCAGGUUUGGAAGGAAGUGUUUAUUCUCCUGGAUGUAUGUUCCCAUGCAUCCACCUCCUGAUAGUUGGCCAGUCGGAACCGGUCAACCAGUUUGAUCCCUCUGUCCCCUUGUCCAUGGCGGUUCCUGCUGCCUCAGAUCUGGUACUGACUAUUCAUAAGCCACAAGCUAACUUGCAGGAUCACCUGGAGACUGCCAAAACAGCUUACAGACAUCACGCUGACAAAUACCGCACUGCUGAACGCUGGUCAAAAGGUGUGGCUGUCCACUUGCAUCUACAUGCCAGCCGACCUGGGCACAAAUUAGAUCACCAAUAUGCAGGUGCUUGCACCAUCAAUAAAGUGGCAUUUGAACUGCAGCUCCCUCGAUCCUGGAAGAUCCAGCCGAUAGUUCAUGUAUUCUUCUCAAAGUCUUUUCUCUGUGAUCCAUUUCCUGGCCAGAGUCCAUCACCCCCGUCCCCGGUUCAGGUACAGAGCCACAAGGAAUACGUAGUUCAGACCAUCCUGGAUUCCUAAAUACCCCCAGGAACAAUGAAUUGUUUGAUUGACUGGGAAGGUUAUGGACCCAAAGAACGCCCUUGGGAGCCAGCUGAUUGCAUGCACACCCCUGCAAAAGUACAGGCUUUCUACAGGGAUCACUCUGAAAAGCCUGGUCCUGGGCCAUCCAGGGACCACUCUCAGUGGGCAGAGCAUCAGGCCUCCCAGGGCUGCUGAGAAAGAGUCUGUUUCUCUGCACCCCUAUGCUACAAACUGCAGCUGAUACCCUGCAAACGGGCUACACCAGCUGACUCUGUGGUUCAGCUGACUAGCAACAGACUGCUAAUUUGUCACAACCUAGCAUAAAGCUUCCUGUUCCUGCUCAUGCCCUGUCGCUAGGCCUGCUGCUGAGUGACUCCUGAGACCAAGUUCCUGCCUCCAUGCCUGGUUCCCGCUGUUCCUCUUACCUCACCUUGUUCGUUGUUCCUGCUCCCUUGUCCUGGCCCCAGUUGCUGACUCUGGCUUGACCCUUGACAUGACUGUGACUCUGGUUUUGACUCAUAGACUUUAAGGUCAGAAGGGAACAUUAUGAUCAUCUAG